CAUAACCAAACGCACCGCGGUCGGGUCGGGCUGAGUGGUGGUGGUGGUGCCGGCGGCUCGCUAACCCGUCCCGACCGAGGGGUGUUUGGUUCAU
rnacentral:pre_miRNA from 1 species